UAGGGAAUCUUCCACAAUGGACGCAAGUCUGAUGGAGCAACGCCGCGUGAGUGAAGAAGGUCUUCGGAUCGUAAAACUCUGUUGUUAGAGAAGAACACGAGUGAGAGUAACUGUUCAUUCGAUGACGGUAUCUAACCAGCAAGUCACGGCUAACUACAUGCCAG
rnacentral:rRNA from 1 species